GACGAACCGUGCGAACGUUAUUCGGAAUCACUGGGCUUAAAGGGCGCGUAGGCGGGCGGCCAAGUCAGAGGUGAAAUCUCCGGGCUUAACCCGGAAACUGCCGUUGAUACUAUUUGUCUUGAAUAUUGUGGAGGUAAGCGGAAUAUGUCAUGUAGCGGUGAAAUGCUUAGAUAUGACAUAGAACACCAAUUGCGAAGGCAGCUUACUACACAACGAUUGACGCUGAGGCACGAAAGCGUGGGGAUCAAACAGG
rnacentral:rRNA from 1 species